rnacentral:rRNA from 1 species
CUUUCCCUCUUUCUUUAGGCCUAACACAUGCAAGUCGAACGGCAGCACAGUAAGAUCUUGCUCUUACGGGUGGCGAGUGGCGGACGGGUGAGGAAUACAUCGGAAUCUACUUUUUCGUGGGGGAUAACGUAGGGAAACUUACGCUAAUACCUCAUACGACCUACGGGUGAAAGCAGUGGAUCUUCGGACCUUUCGCGAUUGAAUGAGCCGAUGUCGGAUUAGCUAGUUGGCGGGGUAAAGGCCCACCAAGGCGACGAUCCGUAGCUGGUCUGAGAGGAUGAUCAGCCACACUGGAACUGAGACACGGUCCAGACUCCUACGGGAGGCAGCAGUGGGGAAUAUUGGACAAUGGGCGAAAGCCUGAUCCAGCCAUACCGCGUGGGUGAAGAAGGCCUUCGGGUUGUAAAGCUCUUUUGUUGGGAAAGAAAAGCAGCAGGUUAAUACCCCGCUGUUCUGACGGUACCCAAAGAAUAAGCACCGGCUAACUUCGUG